CCUACGGGUGGCUGCAGUGAGGAAUAUUGGUCAAUGGGCGCGAGCCUGAACCAGCCAAGUAGCGUGAAGGAUGACUGCCCUACGGGUUGUACACUUCUUUUAUAAAGGAAUAAAGUGAGGCACGUGUGCCUUUUUGUAUGUACUUUAUGAAUAAGGAUCGGCUAACUCCGUGCCAGCAGCCGCGGUAAUACGGAGGAUCCGAGCGUUCUCCGGAUUUAUUGGGUUUAAAGGGAGCGUAGAUGGGUUUUUAAGUCAGUUGUGAAAGUUUGCGGCUCAACCGUAAAAUUGCAAUUGAUACUGGCAGUCGUGAGUACAGUUGAGGUAGGCGGAAUGCGUGGUGUAGCGGUGAAAUGCUUAGAGAUCACGAAGAACUCCGAUUGCGAAGGCAGCGUACUAAACUGCCACUGACAUUGAUGCUCGAAAGUGUGGGUAUCAAACAGGAUUAGAGACCCUAGUAGUC
rnacentral:rRNA from 1 species